rfam:Populus trichocarpa scaffold_125_contig_3, whole genome shotgun sequence.
UUAUCUAAUUGUAUAAAAUCCAUAUUUUAUUGUAUCAUAUCUUUACCUAAAUGCUCAAAACUUUUAAUUAUUACAAGCUCGACUACAUCAAUGCUUUGAAUCUCUUUGCAUAUUAAAAGGAGCUGAUC